UUCCUUGCUUUGUUGGGGGAAAGUCCCCGGACGUACCGGCAGAGAGUGUCAGCCAGAAAUGGUUUAUCCCUCACUGGCGACGUGCCUUAACUUGUUAGGGCAGACAAAGAAGGAUAUGUUUUCAUAUCUGGAGUCGACAAAACUAUUUGUACGUUGUCGGUGGGCUAUAUAGUCGAAGCAAAGUUAUGCGGGCAGUGAUGGAAGCAACCUUGUUCUUUUUUAAAGAGAAGGUGAAAACUCUCACUAACUCAACGGGGCUUACUCUCGUC
rnacentral:RNase_MRP_RNA from 1 species